rnacentral:tRNA from 1 species
UCCUGGGUGGCUGAGAGAGUAAAGAAUCUGCCUGCAAUGCAGGAGACCUGGGUUCCAUUCCUGGGUUGGGAA